rnacentral:rRNA from 1 species
GAUGAACGCUGGCGGCGUGCUUAACACAUGCAAGUCGAACGGUGAAGCAGGAGCUUGCUCUUGUGGAUCAGUGGCGAACGGGUGAGUAACACGUGAGCAACCUACCCCUGACUCUGGGAUAAGCGCUGGAAACGGCGUCUAAUACUGGAUAUGUGAUGUGACCGCAUGGUCUGCAUCUGGAAAGAAUUUCGGUUGGGGAUGGGCUCGCGGCCUAUCAGCUUGUUGGUGAGGUAAUGGCGCACCAAGGCGUCGACGGGUAGCCGGCCUGAGAGGGUGACCGGCCACACUGGAACGGAGACACGGCCCAGACCCCGACGGGAGGCAGCAGCGGAGAAUAGUGCACAAUGGGCGGAAGCCUGAUGCAGCAACGCCGCGUGAGGGAUGACGGCCUUCGGGUUGUAGACCUCUUUGAGCAGGGAAGAAGCGAAAGUGACGGUACCUGCAGAAAAAGCACCGGCUAACUACGUGCCAGCAGCCGCGGUAA